UCUUAAUUUGAAUCCACCUCUGUUGAUGCAGCUCUGCUGAGAAGAUGAAAAUCAGUCGUUUUCCUGGAGCUACCGCUCAAGGAUGGAUCCACAGUCCCUUUGGAUGUGCUUGGUGGGCUGAAAACAGCAACAGAGUGGCAGGUCAAGGUGAUGGGGAGUCCUUCCUGUGCCUUCCCACACAGCUGGCUGGUGACUCCCUUUUACUCAGAGCUGCAGCAGACUGGCAGAGGAGCUCUCAGGUGGUUUUAUCCAUAGGGAGCCUGCAACCCCAACCUCACCAGCUGCUGAACCUCUGGGGACAUCAGCAUUCCUUCCUGGGACAACACAGGACCUACCUCACCCUAAGCAGAGACAGAUGAUCUCCAAGUGCUCCAUGCCUUCCCAGAAGCUGCUGUGGGGAGUGAUUUCUAAUCCAAAGAGAAUUUCUUCCUCCCAGCAUCCCUCAGAGACAUUUUCCUUUGCCCCAAAAGGCUUCCUGCUGUGUUGAGUCAUGCUCGAAGCGGUGCUUGUUAAAUAAGUGCCGCUGAGCUCUGCUUUAAACAAACGAAGUUGAUUUACCAGGGCUGUAGGAUGGCCAGGUAGCUAAGGUGUUAUUUAAGAGUAUUGGCACUUGGAAGGCCGAGUGCUAAAAGCACUUCAUUUUUAUUUCAGCUCUUAAUUGAAAAUCAGCUGGUUUGUCUUGUUCUCCUCCCCUGCUCCCAUCCCCACGCCGGGAUAAGGGCUGUUAACACCACACAGCGUGUUUGUCAAAAAGUGGCACCAGCCCAGGCUUUCACUUGUGGUUUAUUAGUUUAAUUACCCAGGGUCUUGCAAAGACUUCUCGGCGAGGCAGAAAUGAGAGAAUCUAAUGUUUCUUGGGCUGGAUCCUUACAUCACGUGAAGCCACCUGGUGAAGGCACCGAGGUAAAAACGUGGCUCCUGUGAUUAACCUUGACUGAAUUCAAUAAUACCUCGGAGUCACAUUAUUGCUGACCUUGUG